UGAAAUCUAAACAAAUUAAAGUCAUUGUCCAAGUACAGUCCAACAUCAUAACACGUUCAUGCUUAUUACAAUACCAGAAAUACUACUGAAACUAAUAAUGUUUAUAAUAUGACAUUGAUAUAAAAAAUAGGAUCAUCUUCAUUAUCAGUUAUGAUCUUGAACAUGUACGGCUAUGACUUCCAAGAUUUUGAGUGAGAAUGGUACCUGGAAUUACAGCAGAAGAGGUCCUAUGAGUAAGGCAAACAUAAGGCAAACAACCAACAGCAGCCAAAAUACCAAUAAACCCAGGAUUGUAUCAGGAAUUCAGGAAAAACACUUUGAAAAGCCAAUGCACACAAGUUUCAAUCCUUAAUGCAUAUACUUCAAACUAUAUUCAACUUCCAAGGAAUAGAAUUUGAUUAUUAUAGAAGAUUUUGCCAGGAAAACUUGAAAUUGAUUUUCAGCUGAAUGUUAUAUGGACUGUAUCUCUCAAUGUAUAUCUCUCUCUAUAUCUGAAAAUUGUCCUCUAGCUCCAGAAAAAUCACCUUUUAAAAUAAUCAGACGUCUCUUUUAUAACCAAAGCCUUAGGACAACAAAAUCCUUUUGUUUUCCUUCUAGUCCUUUAUCAAUUUUUCAGAGUUUCCUAAAUACUCCUUGAUUUUCUAACUUGUGCCUCAAGUUUGAGGAAAAUUUGAAAGAAAUUGUAUUUUUACCCCUUCACUAGAAUGUUCCAGGAGCUUUUACAAGAUUUCCAUGUUCUAAUACCUUUAAUACCCCUGUCCUCUUUUCUUAAUUAUUGGCCUAAGUGUUUUAAACCCAGGCACAUAUCUAUUUGGUCAGAAAUUGACCGUAGUUAACUACUUCAGGUCAUAACCCAAAGUUAUUAUUAGCAGCUAGGAUCAAAUUUGAGGGUUAUACUAUACUAUGCAAGAGCAAAUGAUCAAGGGUCAAAAAUUGAUCAGUGCAACACAUAUAUUCAGGCAAAUAUCACAAUGUGGAGCCAAAUUACUCAGAAACAAAGAUGAAACUAAUCAUCACAAACUUCAAAAGCAAGAUUUAUCACACAUGGAUACUAAUCGAUUUUGGAACAGAAGAAAUGAAAAAUCAGAGCAUGAUAAUUCAGGGACAACUGUGACUUCAAAUAUUAAGCAGACUAUUCAGAAGCAGGUUAUCCAAACUUAAAAUAAAAGCAUGUAGUGGAAAUAAAAUCACUAAUCAGUAAAACUUAACAGAUGACCAAAUGGACAUGCAUGCCUUUACAUAAACAAAAUCGAAGAAAUUAAAAGCAAACGGAAGGAAGAAAAAAAGAAAUCAGAAGUGAACUAAAAGCAAUUAUAAGGAAGAACAAUUAAAACAAUAUAAGGACGAACAAAUUAAAACACUCAGAAGAGACCUAAAACCAUUAUAAGGAAGAGCAUAGGGAAUCAAAACAAUAAUAAAGAUGAACAAAGGCAAUUUCAGGAAACAAUUAUAAAGACUUAGAAAAGAAAUUAAAAAGACUCAGAAGAAAACUAAGGUAAUUAUAAGGAAAAGCACAGGAAAUUAAACAAUUAUAAAAACGAACAAAGGAAAUUACAAACACUCAGAAGAAACGUAGAAAUAUUAUGAGAUGGAAAAAAAUAAUAAAAACGAACAAAGGAAAUCAGAAGAAAAAAUUAUAAGGAGGAACAAAAGAAACGAAUAAAAAGACGAACGGAAAAAAUUAACAGCAAUCAAAGAAAGAAGUACAAAAGAAACUUAGCUUUCUCAAAAUUGCAACCCUAAAUUUUGGGAUUUUUGAAUCUCAAGGUUCUUCGACCCUUUCUGAGAGGAUCUUCGGUCUCUUGAGACCUUUAUUUCAUUGUUGGAAAGGAGGAUAGGGUAUCAGGCUAGGGCUGAUUAACUUUGAGACGGAGACUGGGCUUCAGAUCUGAUUUUUGGCCACGUCUAGUUGUAUUCGUGGGUCGUUUGUCAUGGGGCUGUGGAUGGGAAGGUGAGAUAGUCACCAAAGACCAUUUUUGAGAGAUUCUGGUGAGUUUAGGGUUUUGGUCAAAACUUCGAUUCAAUAUUCGAAGAGGUUUGUGAGGAUUCGAGGGAUAAGACUUAGAGGGUUGGAAAGAGGAGGAUAAGGCGAAUUAGGGGUGUUAAUUUGGAUCGGUUUGAAGUUGGUGCCACCGUAGUCAGCAGAGACAGUGAGUAUUCUUUUGAAUAUUCGAUGGUCUGGGGAGAUAUUUGAGGGGAUCUGAAGGUAGGAGGGGAAAGGAGAGGCUGCAAGGAUUCGGUGGUGUAAAUUUGGGGCCAUUUGGUGGUCAGCCACUACCGAGAGGCGAUUUUCGGCGGUGGCGUUACGGUGGUUAAGGGGUGGUGUUACACCGGUGUAUAGGUACGAGGAAGAAGACUG
rnacentral:lncRNA from 1 species